CAAAUUUGUGUGUGUGUAAACAUUUGUUUGUUGCUCCUACAAUUCUAGUAUUUAUUUCUGACCUCUCCUGCCAACUUGGUUGAGUUAAAUUCAAAACUGCCAGAUGAAAGAAUGCAAAAACGGGAGCAUUUGUUUGUCUAUGAUAAUGGUUUCUAUGGUUCUGGUACUGUGUGCCCUUAUUUCUUAUGGGAUUCGUCGGUGCAUAUCGAAAGAGAAAAAACGGUUCUCGGAAGUUGCAGUAACUGUUGGACUCAAAAGUUGAUGAAGCUUUUGAAGAACAAGAUUCCAGUGGCAGUGCAAAAAUGAAUUUUAACUAUCCUAGUAAAUUUAUUAAAAAUUUGGGCAAUGUAGUCACAUUUGGAACUUCUGUUUUAUCUAGAUUUUGAUCUAGUUAUUAUUAAUUAAGUUAUAUCCCCUU